AAUGGAAGGUGCAAUAUCAACAAACUGUAAUAGUAAUAAGGUUGAAAUGAAUAAUUGUUUUAACGUAAUUAUUAUUGGCGCAGGAAUGGCAGGAAUAUCUGCAGCUAGUCACUUGAUAAAACAUGGUGAAACUAAUAUAAAAUUACUGGAAGCAAGAAAUAGAAUCGGAGGUCGCAUAAUAUCAAUUCCAAUGGGGAAUACACAUGUUGAAUUGGGUGCCAAGUGGAUACAUGGAAUCAUGGGAAACCCAAUUUAUGAAUUAGCCAUUAUGAAUAAGUUGAUUCAGUUGACAAAUGACCAACACCCACAUACAGUAGUAGCAACAACAGAAGAGGGGAAACGAGUGCCUAUUGCAGUAGUGGAAGAAGUGUACAGUGCCUACUUUUGGUUUAGCAAACGGUGUGAAGAAUAUUUUCUACUUCGAAUUCACCCUCCCUCAGAAGUAUCCAACAGUGUUGGUAAACAUUUGGAAAUGGACAUCAAAGCUUUCCUUGACCAAUAUGAAGGUGAAGAUUGUCGAAUUAGACGCAUGGUCUUUAAUCAUUUGCUCAGCAGAGAAACUUGCAUCACAGGUUGUCACAGCAUGGAUGAGACAGGACUAAAUGACUUUGGAAGUUACACUGAGCUUCCUGGGGGAAAUGUGAGCUUGCCCAAAAGCUAUUUUUCUCUUUUAGAAUGUCUAACUAAAGAUCUUCCUAAGGAUUCUAUUUUGAAAGGACUUCCUGUAAAGUGUAUUAGAUGGGGUCCCAACCACAAAUCAGAAGCACUUAAUUGCUUAUUGGACCAAAAGUCAUCAGAAUGUAAUAAUCCUGCAUCAAAUAUCCAGGAAGUCUUUAAAAUUGAAGUUGAAGCUGUUAAUGGGCAAAAGUUUUAUUCAAAGCAUGUGAUUGUGACACUUCCUCUUGGUGUGCUAAAAGCAACUGCGGAAGACAUUUUUGACCCGCCUCUACCAGAUUACAAAAGAGAAGCCAUUAAAAACCUUUGUUUUGGAGUUGUAGAUAAAAUCUAUUUAGAGUACGAGCAACCUUUCUUAAAUCCAGAAAUUGCUGAGGUGAUAACUUUGUGGGAUGAGACAACGGAACAAGAUAUUAGCAAAACGUGGUACAGAAAAAUCUAUUCUUUCAGUAAAAUUACAGAAACAGUACUUUUAGCAUGGGUGUCUGGCAAAGAAGCAGAAUAUUUAGAGACAUUAUCAAGUGAUCAAGUUGGAGAAGCAUGCACCAUGAUUUUGAGGAAAUUUCUGAAUGAUACCUAUAUACCUAAACCUAUUAGAGUUGUCUGCACCUCAUGGAAAAAUCAACCUUAUACAUGUGGUUCAUACACAUCUAUUGGUGUAAAUAGUACACAGCGAGAUAUAGAACUACUAGGAACUCCUUUGUAUUCUGAUCCUGAUUAUGCUAAGCCUGCUCUAUUAUUUGCUGGAGAAGCCACUCAUCCGAGUUUUUACUCAACUGUGCAUGGAGCCUACUUGUCGGGUCGUCAAGCUGCAGAGUACCUGGUUGAGACGAAGCAAACCAAUUCUCUUCCAGCAUGGUCAAUAGAUCGACCCAGAUGUAGUGUAGGAGACCUGUCAUCUUGGUUGAAAGGAAUUGAUUUAACUUAACUUCCUGUAAAAACCUUAAUGUAAAAAAUUUAUUUGUCCUUACUGUCAGCAAGGAUGUAUUGGGUCUACCAAAAGAAAAUUACUGACUCAGUUUGAAAGAACAUGUUAACAUGAGAUCACCCACAAAAUACUGGUACCAACUUACUGGUAGGAUAUCACUGCAAGUUUACAAUAUGAAGUUCUGCUUAGGCAAUCCGGUAAUAGGAAAAUAAUAUAUGGUAUAUAUAUAUUUCUGACAUAAUUACUACAUUAAUUAACAUUAAUUUUACCUUUAUUUGUUCACCAUAAAAUUAAUUCAUUAAUUUCCAAACCCAUUAAUGAUACAUGCUAACACAUAUGAACUCAUUUUAUUUUUUGUCAUUAACCUAUGGCAUAACUUAAUUAAAGUUACCCUUCCUUCGCUAUAUCCCUUUUCAGUACACUAAAUUGAGUUAUUUAGGUUUGCACAUGUAUGAUAAAAGAUUUGAAUUAAUACACAGAUUAACUUUUCUUUAUACUGAUUCUUUUUCCAAGCUUUUCAUAUUUAAAAUGGUUUAAGACUUCAAAUAGUCUGUGUCCACAUCAAGCAAGUUUAACUGCUUACAAAUAAACAUGGAAGUGGACUAAAGAAACAAGGACAUUAGCUAAAGUUUGUGUAAAAUGGUGAUUGCUGUGAGAUCUUUUUUUUUCUUUGUUUAAAUACAGAACUUUUUAAAUGUGUAGUUUUAUACGUUGAGGUGGCAGUAGAUUUAUAAAAGUAUUUAAAACUGCAAAUGAUAGGUUGUGAAAAUUUGGAGAUCAGUUUAGAAACUAAGUAAGAUCUGAAAACUAAAGAACAAAUAUGAAGUGACUUCUGUGUUUAUAAAUAUUUUUAUUUAAUGUUUAUUCAAACAUUCUCUAAAAAAGCUUUCAAACAAUUUGAUUGUAACUUAAUAAAGGUGAAACUGUGAUUUUAGUUCUUUUGUCAAAGAUUGCUUUUUAUUGCACUGUCACGUUUACUCUAAUAUUGAUUGUUUAUAUUUAUAAGUAAGCUGACAUGGAAAUUCCUGACUGCUGAAUCUGUAAUCAGCUUUUUGUAAAUUGUAUAUUCAUAAUAUUAAUAUUUUGAGAUUAUUUCUUACUUGUAAAAUUGAAAAACAAAGAAGGCAGCCUGUUAAAGUAUUGUAUAUAUUUAACAUAUUGUGUAGGAAGUUUCAAUAAUCUUUUUUUGUUCCUUUUCUCAAACUGCACAGCUGUAUUUUACAUAUUCUGUGAAUGAACAGGAAGAAUUGGAAAAUAGCCUUAAUUUGAUUAUUUUUCCUAACUUAAGCAUCAAAGUAAUGAUAUUUUGAAAUUUAUUUUUUCAUACUUUAUGGUUUUCUCAUGCUAGGUAUAUAAAACAGCAAUGACAAAAUAACUUGUAUUAUCUUCAAAUUGCAAGUAUAGUAAAUAUUUAACUCUCAGAAAUUUGUAAUAUAACUUGUGUGCUUUAAGAAACACAAGUGGAAAACAUAAUCACAAAGUUACAUCAAAAAAGAGCACAAUAUAUUUUAAAAUUAUUGCAAAAGUCACGUUCUUAAAAGAAUUGCAUUUCUAAGUAGGAAAAAUCAAGCUUAAUCAUUGAUAAAAAAAAUAAAUGAAUGAUUUAAAUAGGUAGAAUUUUUUAUAUCAUUACCACAAGAAGAAUGGAAGAAGGUAGAUGUUUAGAGAAAGAUUUAAACUAAUAGCCCUCAACCACAUUUAUUUUUGCCUGUACCUAACAAGUUUCAAAACUAGCUACAUGCUUAGUGUCCUGAACUUACUGUUUUCAUUUCUUUAUGUCAUUUUUAUUCUGUUUAGUUUUUUAUAAUUCUAUUUAUCUAUCAUACUUACUGUUAUGUUUUAGAUAUUUGUUAUUUAGAAUAAGUAUUAAGAUAUCUUUCAUGUCUUUUAAUAUUUACUUCUUUGUAACUAUUAAACCAAUACACUUAAGUGUCAGCUACUAAAGCUUUUACUAUCUUCAGGAAGGUUUAAGAUUAGAAAGCAAGGAAUUUGCUUUUGUAAUUUCCACAUCUCUACAUAUCAUCUUGUGUGAUUAUCUACUGUUGCUACAUUUUAAUUGAUUUCAAGGUACUUUGCCAUGUUUUGCUGACUUUUAUAUGAUGAAAUUUCUCAAAUAUUUGUCUAGAAAAAAAGGUAAAAAAGCUCUUUUAAUUGUCAGAUCUUUCAUGUUCCACUUUAUUCCCAUACUAUUCCAAGCUGGUGUUAAAUGGUCAGUAUUGCAGUAUCAGGGUAAUGGUCAUGACUGAGGGUUAAGGAUGUUUAUUUUUACUGUUAUCACAAUAUUAUAUUGUUUACAAGUGUUUUUAUAUUCUUUAAUCAAACAAAAGUAAAAGUUGAUAAUUUUUGUUUGUUUGCUGCUCAUUUGUGUUUAAUCUACUUCAUUCUUUAUUACUGUGUGUGGGUCCUCACCUUUGACCCCAUGUUAUAGAUUUCUGUAUGUCAUUAGGGGACCUCCCAGGGAAGGUUCUGAUGGUGCAGCUACUUUCUCUAGAAUCCUAACAUCCACCCACAUGUUUACCAUGCAUAACAACCUGUGCAAGGGAGAUACUGGUGUUUGAGUGGUAACUGGGUCAAUCCAACACACCACUUUGGCCUUGAAUACCUGUAGCUGGGUGACUCUGCAGUGAUCCUCCCCUCCCCAAAGUCAGUUGGCUAGUCAAUUGUGGGUAAGGUCAGCUUAAGUUCCAGUAUCAAACAUCCUUAGUAGCUGUUGUGACCAAAUAGUUCUGGUAAUGUUUUGUUGGGUAAAGUGCUCACAAAACCUUGGUGUUGCUGUUCUGUUCUUAAGAUGUUGAGAGUUUCAUAGUGUAGCAUGUCCACUUGUAGGACUCCUUGAUAGGUGGGAUCAGUGAGCACUGAAUUUUUCUUUCUCCUUAUGGAUUUAUCAAUAAACAAGAUACAAAUCACCAAAAGCAACCACGCGUAGAUUGACUCUGUAAGCACAUAAUUACCAUCAUCUACUUAAUCCCGUGCAUCAGUCUGUGAUUUUAAAUUUCUUAUCAGAAACUACACUUUCUAAAAUAUUUCCUGUUUUUCAUACAAAAAGACUUAAAGUGUCUUGAUCCCGAAAUAAAAACUAAGAACUGGGUACCUACUUAUCGAAACAUCACAAGCACAAGACAGUGAACUCAUGGGCAAAUAAUUAUUGAGGUAACCCCCACAAUACUUUGAAUUCAUCAAGAGAAGUUGUUGUUAACACAUUGGCUGCCACAUAAUAAAAUAAGUAUAAAUAAAAUUAAACCAUCAAAAGGUGCCAAGGAGCAGUCAUAGUGUCCCAAACUAUAUGCUUUUAAACAUAAUUGUCUGUGACCCAUUGGUGGGACACAUGGCAGCCAACGUGUUAAGAGAGGUCUCUUUAACAUCCUUCAAUUGGAUAUUUUUGCUAAACUGUGUAAUUAGGGCAUAUCAAUUACCUAGUAAAUCUCCUUUCAGAAAAAUUUUGUAUAUGAACCAACUAAUGUUCUCAUUUUAGUGAUUACAUCUACACAUCUACAUGCCAAUGUAAAGACAGGUUAUAUUUCAAAUCUUCUCAGAUGUUUUCACGUUAAACACUUCAAAACCUCUUGCCAUAGCUCUAUAGUUAGUGCUUAUUGCAGUUUUAAAUACCAUGAUAGUUAUAAAUGACAAUUAAACCAACAUUACUUCAGUCCUGUGUUUCCUAUCCUUGAUACUUGAGAUCACUCUCAAUGGAUUGGGGUACAGAUGAUAAAGAAUUUUUCAAUAACAUACAUUAUCCUAAGACAAGAAAAAUAUCUACUAUUAAUAACAAAUAAUUGUUAAUAAGGGGAAGCCACAAAGAAGCUUUCCAUCUAGAUCUCCACAACAGUGUAAGUGAAAAUAGCUACAGUGACACAGCCAAACUUUCAAGGUUUUUGCACUAAUAUGGAUAUCAUCAAAGCAUUGAUUGAUCCUUACCAUCUUGUAUGCAUCUCUUUACAGGAGACAUUUCAAAAAAUCAGCCAAUUCUAUCACCACUGGCAGUUUUCCGUAAUGUACAAUAACAAAUUGGGUUACAGCCAUAUUCCUGGAGAGAGGUGGGUAACAUGGUUUGUCAGCCAACUUACUCCAUUGCUUAUUCCACUCACUAUGCUACCAGAAGCUGUAGCCAUCCAUGUCUGUAUUGGUCAGACCAUUACACUAUUUUCUUUAUAUCAGUUGCCUAGAGAAGAAUUUGAUUAGGCAGUUGCCAUCUUCCUUUGCCAUACUUGGAAACUUUAGUGGAUAUAGUCCACUUUGAGGCAGUAGAAAUAUUGAUGGAAGUAGUAUGUCUUUGGAGGCCUUACUCUUAGAUCAUAGCCCCUUUUUUUUUCAAUACCCAAGAUUACACUAUUUCCAUGCCAUAAGUCCAACAUAUACUGUCAUUGAUCUUCCAAUCUGUUCACUUUGUCUCUUUUUAUUUUUUUUGGAAGACAGCCAAUGAUCUAUAUGGAAGUGAUGAUUUCUCCAUUGUCCUGAGUGUGUGGACACAAUCUAUGUCUUCUGACUCUAGUGUCACGGUGGAAGUUGGAGAACGCCAACAUAACCCUCCUGUACCAUAACAGAUAAAUAAACUUUUAGCCUGGGUCUAAGUAAGGAAAUUCGUUCUACAUACAAAAGAGAAGGGAUGUUAUAGUUGUAGAUUACUGUUGGUUAUAGACUCUCACAUGAUCCUCUUUUAAAUUAGAUUCUGUUAGUCUCAGUUCUUGUAUUCCACCUGAUGAUGCUACGUAAACCCGGUGAAACAUAGUGUGUAAAAUAAACUUGGGGGAAUUUUAAAAACAUACUUCUUUCUAAUAUUUAAUUAGAGUCUAGAUACGUCUUGCUGUUCAUCAGGUUUCCUGUAUACACCUUUGGUAAGCAUCAUUCCUUUUCUUCUGAUCAUUUCAUUGAUAAAUUUUGUAUUUCUUAAUCAUUAAUUGUGUAGUUGAGAAUGUGUGGUAUCUUCAAGUAAAAACUGAUUUCCUGACAAGUAUCAAAUAAGCAGACCAGCUAAUAACAGCAGUUUUGCUAGGAAAUAAAGAGUGUAAUUAUGAAUCUUAUACUUUGACUGACUGAAUGUUCUUAGUGUGUGUGUGAAAUAAUAACACUGCAAAAAGCUGGUAUAAAAUAGAAAAAUCUUUAUUAUUAAACAAAAAGAAAAUGCAGCAUACAUACUGGAGUGUAAGCAAAAUCACAGUUGCUUGUACUGAUGUGUGUCACAGCUUUCUAUCAUGUGAGACUUUUAUCAAACUAAACACAAUGACCUUAAAACUACAUCUCUACUAAUCAAU
rnacentral:misc_RNA from 1 species